UACGUAGGGUGCAAGCGUUAAUCGGAAUUACUGGGCGUAAAGCGUGCGCAGGCGGUGAUGUAAGACAGAUGUGAAAUCCCCGGGCUCAACCUGGGAACUGCAUUUGUGACUGCAUCGCUGGAGUACGGCAGAGGGGGAUGGAAUUCCGCGUGUAGCAGUGAAAUGCGUAGAUAUGCGGAGGAACACCGAUGGCGAAGGCAAUCCCCUGGGCCUGUACUGACGCUCAGGCGCGAAAGCUAGGGGAGCGAACAGG
rnacentral:rRNA from 1 species